GACGAACGCUGGCGGCGUGCUUAACACAUGCAAGUCGAACGGAAAGGCCCUGCUCUUGUGGGGUGCUCGAGUGGCGAACGGGUGAGUAACACGUGAGUAACCUGCCCUUGACUUUGGGAUAACUUCAGGAGACUGGGGCGAAUAUCGGAGAGGAGCUCCUGCUGCAUGGGGGGGGUUGGAGAGUGUCGGCGGUGGGGGAUGGAAUCGGGGCUUAUCAGCUGGUUGGUCGGGUAGUGGCGUACCAAGGCUUUGACGGGUAGCCGGCCUGAGAGGGUGACCGGCCACCUUGGGCCUGCGAUACGGCCCAGACUCCUACGGGAGGCAGCAGUGGGGAAUCUUGCACAAUGGGCGGAAGCCUGUUGCAGCAACGCCGCGUGCGGGAUGCCGGCCUUCGGGUUGUAAACCGCUUUCGCCUGUGACGAAGCGUGCGUGACGGUAAUGGGUAAAGAAGCACCGGCUAACUACGUG
rnacentral:rRNA from 1 species